rnacentral:rRNA from 1 species
GAUGAACGCUAGCGGCAGGCCUAAUACAUGCAAGUCGGACGGGAUCCAUCGGUAGCUUGCUACCGAUGGUGAGAGUGGCGCACGGGUGCGUAACGCGUGAGCAACCUGCCCAUAUCAGGGGGAUAGCCCGGAGAAAUCCGGAUUAACACCGCAUGACACUGCUUUCCGGCAUCGGGAGGCGGUCAAAUAUUCAUAGGAUAUGGAUGGGCUCGCGUGACAUUAGCUAGUUGGUGGGGUAACGGCCCACCAAGGCGAAACGAUGUCUAGGGGCUCUGAGAGGAGAAUCCCCCACACUGGUACUGAGACACGGACCAGACUCCUACGGGAGGCAGCAGUAAGGAAUAUUGGUCAAUGGGGGCAACCCUGAACCAGCCAUGCCGCGUGCAGGACGACUGCCCUAUGGGUUGUAAACUGCUUUUGUUAGGGAAUAAACCCCGCUACGUGUAGCGGGCUGAAUGUACCUAAAGAAUAAGGAUCGGCUAACUCCGUGCC